rnacentral:rRNA from 1 species
UACGGAGGGAGCUAGCGUUGUUCGGAAUUACUGGGCGUAAAGCGCGCGUAGGCGGUUUUUUAAGUCAGAGGUGAAAGCCCAGUGCUCAACACUGGAACUGCCUUUGAAACUGGAAAACUUGAAUCUUGGAGAGGUCAGUGGAAUUCCGAGUGUGGAGGUGAAAUUCGUAGAUAUUCGGAAGAACACCAGUGGCGAAGGCGACUGACUGGACAAGUAUUGACGCUGAGGUGCGAAAGCGUGGGGAGCAAACAGG